rnacentral:misc_RNA from 1 species
GAUGAAGAACGCAGCGAAAUGCGAUAAGUAGUGUGAAUUGCAGAAUUCAGUGAAUCAUCGAAUCUUUGAACGCACAUUGCGGCCAUAGGUAUUCCUUUGGCCAUGCCUGUUCGAGCGUCAUUUACACCCUCAAGCCUAGCUUGGUGUUGGGCGUCUGUCCCGCCGUUCUCGCGCGCGGACUCGCCUCAAAGUCAUUGGCGGCGGUCGUGCCGGCCCCCACGCGCAGCACAUUUGCGCUUCUCGGAGGCCCGGCGGAUCCGCGCUCCAGCAAGACCUUUCACGACUUGACCUCGGAUCAGGUAGGGAUACCCGCUGAACUUAAGCAUAUCAAUAAGCGGAGGA